rnacentral:lncRNA from 1 species
GUGUGCAGGAGGAGUGUGUGUAUUAACCCCUCUCUCUCUCAGUGCAGUGUCAGUGUACAGUCGUGUGCAGGAGGAGUGUGUGUAUUAACCCCUCUGUCUCUCUCAGUUACGGGCGGGUGUACACUACAGACCCCUACCACGCUCUGACCCCUGCUGCUGCCGCUGCCUAUGGAGUAGGCGCUGUGGCCAGUCUGUACAGGGGCGGAUACAGCAGGUUUGCCCCCUACUGAAGAUCCCACUCCCACCCCCACCACCGACUCCCCCCUGCCCCCCCCAUGCCUUCUCCCUGGAGGACAGUGCCCCCUGCUGGACUGGAGGAGCGUUACCGCGGCGGGCGCCGGAGGCCUCGGGUGACGACAGCGGAGCCGCUGGGAGAGGGCUGGGGGGGCAGCGGGGGGGGGACCGUCCGCGGCCCCGCUGACCCCAGGUGACCGGUCCGCCCGAACCCGCCCGUUUUUAAUGUGCGAUACCUCAUUCCGCUCGGUCUGCGCGAGUCCGGGCGCAACGGCGACCCCGAAUCCGAGGAGGAGGAAGAAGAGGAAGAAUUUUUAAUUUUUAGGUUGUUUUUUUUUUUGGUUGACUUUUUUUUUGCAUUUCCGUUUUUGUUAGCUCUCCGUUCCUCUUCACAGUUAAUGUUGUUCUUAUUAUAAUUAUUAUUAUGGCUGGUAUUAUUAUAAUUAUUCGUGAUGUUCGUGGUUAGUACUGCAGGAUCAUGCCUGAUUAUAUCCUUGUAUAUCCUGUGUCUGGGUCUGGGGGUCCGGCGAUGUCUCUGUGGCGGGGGCAGGGGGGGUGGAC